GAGUGGUCGGGACGUUUAUUGGGUCUAAAGCGUCCGUAGCCGGCUUACUAAGUCUCCGGCUAAAACCCACGGCUCAACCGUGGGAUCGCCGAAGAUACUGAUAGGCUUGGGGGCGGAAGAGGCCGAGGGUACUUCCGGGGUAGGGGCGAAAUCCUAUAAUCCCGGAAGGACCACCAGUGGCGAAGGCGCUCGGCUAGUACGCGCCCGACGGUGAGGGACGAAAGCUGGGGGAGCGAACCGGAUUAGAUACCCGGGUAGUCCCAGCUGUAAACGAUGCAGACUAGGUGUUGGAUAGGCUUCGAGCCUAUCCAGUGCCGCAGUGAAGACAAUAAGUCUGCCACCUGGGGAGUACGGCCGCAAGGCUGAAACUUAAAGGA
rnacentral:rRNA from 1 species